rnacentral:lncRNA from 1 species
ACGGACAACACCUACAGCCGCGAGCAGCUGGUAGCGAUGGAGGAGGAGGUGCUGCGGCAGCUCAAGUACGAGCUGACCGUGCCCACUGCCAAAACAUUCCUGCGCCGCCUGCUGCAGGUGCGCUGGGAAUUGCAGACCUGGAAUUUCGCACAGCUUCAUGUCAGCUGAUUAAACGGAACAAAUGACGCGUGCGCAUGAUACGUGUGGGGUCAUGUCAUCUUAUUGUGUUUCCCAACGAAAACCGUCUGUCCCGCAGGUUUGCAGCCCUGAUGACCAGCUGCACUUUGUGUCCAACUACCUGACGGAGAUCUCACUCAUGGAGGCCACCAUGCUGCACUUUUUGCCCAGCGAGAUUGCCGCGGCGGCCGUGUACCUGGGCAACCUGAUCCUGGCGCGUGCUCCGUGGUCG